rnacentral:rRNA from 1 species
CCUACGGGUGGCUGCAGUGAGGAAUAUUGGUCAAUGGGCGAGAGCCUGAACCCGCCAAGUCGCGUGAAGGAUGAAGGAUCUAUGGUUUGUAAACUUCUUUUAUAUGGGAAUAAAGUGAGGAACGUGUUCCUUUUUUUAUGUACCAUAUGAAUAAGCAUCGGCUAAAUCCGUGCAAUCAGCCGCGGUAAUACGGAGGAUGCGAGCGUUAUCCGGAUUUAUUGGGUUUAAAGGGUGCGUAGGUGGUUAAUUAAGUCAGCGGUGAAAGUUUGUGGCGCAACGAUAAAAUUGCGGUUGAAACUGGUUGACUUGAGUAUAUUUGAGGUAGGAGGAAGGCGUGGUGUAGCGGUGAAAUGCAUAGAUAUCACGCAGAACUCCGAUUGCGAAGGCAGCUUACUAAACUAUAACUGACACUGAAGCACGAAAGCGUGGGGAUCAAACAGGAUUAGAUACCCCUGUAGUA